rnacentral:rRNA from 1 species
GACAGAGGUCCCAAGCGUUGUUCGGAUUUACUGGGCGUAAAGGGCGCGUAGGCGGCUGGGCCAGUCCGGCGUGAAAGCCCGCAGCUUAACUGCGGAAGGGCGUCGGAUACUACCCGGCUCGAGGGUUGGAGAGGGGAUUGGAAUUCCCGGUGUAGCGGUGAAAUGCGUAGAGAUCGGGAAGAACGCCAGUGGCGAAGGCGAGUCCCUGGACAACUCCUGACGCUGAGGCGCGAAAGCCAGGGGAG